rnacentral:rRNA from 1 species
CGAACGCUGGCGGCGUGCUUAACACAUGCAAGUGGAGCGACGAACCGGGGCUUGCCCCGGGGCAGAGCCGCGAACGGGUGAGUAACACGUGGGUUACCUACCCCAAUGACCGGGACAACCCGAGGAAACUCGGGCUAAUACCGAAUGUGGUCUUCGGACGAAAGGAAGCUUCGGCCUCCGCAUUGGGAUGGGCCCGCGGCGCAUUAGCUUGUUGGUGGGGUAACGGCCUACCAAGGCGACGAUGCGUAGCUGGUCUGAGAGGACGAUCAGCCACACUGGGACUGAGACACGGCCCAGACUCCUACGGGAGGCAGCAGUGGGGAAUCUUGCGCAAUGCGCGAAAGCGUGACGCAGCAACGCCGCGUGGGGGAAGAAGGCCUUCGGGUUGUAAACCUCUUUCAGUUGGGACGAAGCCUUGCGGGUUAAUAGCCCGUGGAGGUGACGGUACCUUCAGAAGAAGCCCCGGCUAACUACGUGCCAGCAGCCGCGGUAAUACGUAGGGGGCAAGCGUUGUCCGGAAUCAUUGGGCGUAAAGAGCGUGUAGGCGGCCCGAUAAGUCCGCUGUGAAAGUCCAGGGCUCAACCCUGGAAUGCCGGUGGAUACUGUCGGGCUCGAAUCCGGAAGAGGUGAGUGGAAUUCCUGGUGUAGCGGUGAAAUGCGCAGAUAUCAGGAGGAACACCAAUGGCGAAGGCAGCUCACUGGGACGGUAUUGACGCUGAGA